ensembl:snRNA
GCGUUGUUUGAAAGGAGAGAAGGUUAGCUCUCUCCUUGACAAGGAUGUCUAGUUUCUAGUGACCUUCAGCACACAUUGCCACCUAUACUCUCUCACCAUGUUUUGUGUGGUUAUAUAGUGGUAAAAGCUCU